UACGGGGGGAGCAAGCGUUGUUCGGAUUUACUGGGCGUAAAGGGCGCGUAGGCGGUCAGCACAAGUCAGUUGUGAAAUCUCCGGGCUUAACCCGGAAAGGUCAACUGAUACUGUGCGACUAGAGUGCGGAAGGGGCAACUGGAAUUCUCGGUGUAGCGGUGAAAUGCGUAGAUAUCGGGAGGAACACCGGUGGCGAAGGCGGCGAUCUGGGUCGAUACUGACGCUGAGGUGCGAAAGCGUGGGGAGCAAACAGG
rnacentral:rRNA from 1 species